CCUACGGGGGCAGCAGUGGGGAAUAUUGGACAAUGGGCGAAAGCCUGAUCCAGCCAUGCCGCGUGUGUGAAGAAGGCCUUCGGGUUGUAAAGCACUUUCAGUGGGGAAGAAAGCCUUGGGGCUAAUACCCUCGAGGAAGGACAUCACCCACAGAAGAAGCACCGGCUAACUCCGUGCCAGCAGCCGCGGUAAUACGGAGGGUGCGAGCGUUAAUCGGAAUUACUGGGCGUAAAGCGCGCGUAGGCGGUCUGAUAAGCCGGUUGUGAAAGCCCCGGGCUCAACCUGGGAACGGCAUCCGGAACUGUCAGGCUAGAGUGCAGGAGAGGAAGGUAGAAUCCCCGGUGUAGCGGUGAAAUGCGUAGAGAUCGGGAGGAAUACCAGUGGCGAAGGCGGCCUUCUGGACUGACACUGACGCUGAGGUGCGAAAGCGUGGGUAGCAAACAGGAUUAGAUACCCUGGUAGUC
rnacentral:rRNA from 1 species